rnacentral:misc_RNA from 1 species
UUUCCGUAGGUGAACCUGCGGAAGGAUCAUUAAUGAGUUGUCAUGGGGUUCGAUGCUGGCAGCCAGUUUUUGGAUGCAUGUGCUUGCCCUAACAAUCAUCUUCUUCCAAACACCUGUGCACAUUUUUGAAGGAGUCUUGAGUUGGUUGCCGCUCUUGGGUGAUUUUCUCACAUUCCCUUAAAUCAUUAUACGCUAUUAACAAUGUUGAACGUGCUCUGUGCCGCAAGGCCAUUAAUAUAAUACAACUUUUAACAACGGAUCUCUUGGCUCUC